rnacentral:rRNA from 1 species
UACGAAGGGGGCUAGCGUUGCUCGGAAUUACUGGGCGUAAAGCGCACGUAGGCGGAUUGUUAAGUCGGGGGUGAAAUCCUGGAGCUCAACUCCAGAACUGCCUUCGAUACUGCCGUGCUUGAGGACUGGAGAGGAGACUGGAAUUUACGGUGUAGCGGUGAAAUGCGUAGAUAUCGUAAGGAAGACCAGUGGCGAAGGCGGGUCUCUGGACAGUUCCUGACGCUGAGGCACGAAGGUCAGGGGAGCAAACGGG